rnacentral:misc_RNA from 1 species
GUUUUAAAUGUGUAUAUAUAUUAUCACAAUUAUGACAUUCUAAACUUUUUUAAAGUGUAUGUGUGAAAGACGUAGAUCUAAUAAGGGUUUCCCAAAGGCAACCCCAAUAGACUUACAUUAAGUGCACAGGUGUUAGAUGGAUUUGAAUCAAGGCGAGCACAUUGGCCCCGGAAGGCCCAGCUACAAAAACCUCGAAUAUUUCCAGUAAUGAUCCUUCCGCAGGUUCACCUACGGAAA